rnacentral:misc_RNA from 1 species
GUGCGAUAAGUAAUGUGAAUUGCAGAAUUCCGUGAAUCAUCGAAUCUUUGAACGCAAAUUGCACUUCCUGGCACCCCGGGAAGUAUGCCUGUUUGAGGGUCAUCUUAAUAAAAAUCGGCGUGUUGCUCUGUGACGCUCCGGAGUUUGGGUCAUCUUUAACUUUCGGGUUUUAAGAGGCUUAAAAUUGAUCUUUUUGCGCACUUUUUAGACGUACAUAAAUUUUUUUUUAUCGUCUAUUCUAGUGCCAAAUCCUUAUUAGGUGCGAUCAUGACAUUGAUUUCGUGCCUAUAAAUUCUCAUAUUUUGACCUCAAAUCAGGUAGGGAAACCCGCUGAACUUAA